rnacentral:tmRNA from 1 species
GGGGGCGACCUGGCUUCGACGUGGGUCGCGAAGCAGACAAGGGCAUACCGAGGACCAGUUCCCUCGUAAAUCCAGCUGGAAUUUUAUAUUCGCUAACGACGAAACCUACGCUCUGGCCGCUUGACGGUCAGACUCCACACCGGUUGGUCCAUGGGCCGGGCUGGGAAACCAGCAGUGGAGUCAUUCACAUGGACUCGCUUCGAUUCGGGCCGCUUGAGUCGAAGUUAAAUUAAGGUGGCUCGCCUGAACCAAGCCUGUCUGGCCGGCGUGGCUCGGGUUAAAACCAAAUGACCUGACUAAGUAUGUAGAACUUGCUGUAGAGGAUUUGCGGACGCGGGUUCGAUUCCCGCCGCCUCCACCA